rnacentral:lncRNA from 1 species
CAAUUGAUCCCAUAACUUUUGGAUAAAAAAUGAGAGAGAUAUGAUUUUUUGAAAUAAAAGGAAUUAAAGAAAAUAAAAACAGAAAUUAAAAAAAUAGAAAAAUCCACAGCGCUUGGAUCUGAGCUCAUUAAUUGAGUUGGCAGAUCACAAGGCUGGGAGAUGCGCGCGCAUGGAAGUCCACAGUCAAUGCAAGCGCAUGGGAAACAAAUAAAAGUCAUAACAAUGGAUGAUCAGGAUUCGAUCCGGGAACAAG